UGGCCGAACAGGUCUGUCGGGAAAUCUGCUCGCUUAACGAGCAGGCGUCCGGCGGAAACCGUUCGGCUUGGGACCGGAAGACCCGAGGGGUACGUCUGGGGUAGGAGUGAAAUCCUGUAAUCCUGGACGGACCGCCGGUGGCGAAAGCGCCUCGGGAAGACGGAUCCGACAGUGAGGGACGAAAGCUAGGGUCACGAACCGGAUUAGAUACCCGGGUAGUCCUAGCCGUAAACGAUGCUCACUAGGUGUGGCACUGGCUACGAGCCAGUGCUGUGCCGUAGGGAAGCCGUGAAGUGAGCCGCCUGGGAA
rnacentral:rRNA from 1 species